GUGCUAUUAAUAACACUAUCAGUAGGUCCUUGAGGGUUUCUUGUUCUGAUGGAACAAGUUCAUCUAUAUUUUUUUCCCAGUUGCACCAACCCUUCAGUAGCUUUGCCAGGCCCACUUCCCCCUGUUUUGCUCACACUCUCUUCUAUUUCACUAAAUUUCUCUCCCCAAAUAGCCAUUGCCUUAGUUUCUUUUGUUAGACCAACAGGACUAGGUGAAAUUACUCCUAGCACCCUUGCUCUCUUUUUCUUUUUCUUUUUAUUUUAACUAUCAACUUCUCC
rnacentral:lncRNA from 1 species